GUGCUCACUUUGGCAGCCCAUAUACUAAAACUGGAAUGAUAUAGAGAAGAUUAGAUUGGCCUCUGUGCAAGGAUGACACACAAAUUCAUGAAAAAUAAAAAGAAUGG